rnacentral:rRNA from 1 species
CAUGCAAGUCGAACGCGUCUUGGGGGGCAACUCCUGAGAUGAGUGGCGAACGGGUGAGUAACACGUGAGUAAUCUACCCUCGAGUGAGGAAUAACCCCGCGAAAGCGGAGCUAAUACUGCAUAAUACUCUGGAGCGUAAGCUUUCAGAGUCAAAGCUUUCCGAGCAAUCGGACAGCGCUUGAGGAUGAGCUUGCGGCCUAUUAGCUUGUUGGUGAGGUAACGGCUCACCAAGGCAAAGAUGGGUAGCCGGCUUGAGAGGGUGUACGGCCUCACUGGGACUGAGACACGGUCCAGACUCCUACGGGAGGCAGCAGUGGGGAAUCUUGCGCAAUGGGGGAAACCUUGACGCAGCAACGCCGCGUGGAUGAUGAAGGCCUUCGGGUCGUAAAGCCCUGUCAGGUGGGAAGAAACUUGUGGAUGUUAAUACCAUCCGCAAUAGACGG